rfam:Otolemur garnettii contig045885, whole genome shotgun sequence.
CUACUUUGGCAGCACAUAUACUAAAACUGGAACAAUACAGAGAAGAUUAGCACAGCCCCUGUGCAAGGAUGACAUGAAAAUUUGUAAAAUGUUCCAUAUUAAA